AUACGUAGGGAGCGAGCGUUGUCCGGAAUUACUGGGCGUAAAGGGCGCGUAGGCGGCGCUUCAAGUCGUCUGUCAAAUGGGAGGGCUUAACCCUUUUUCGCAGACGAAACUGGAGAGCUUGAGAAGCAGAGAGGCAAACAGAAUUCCUGGUGUAGCGGUGAAAUGCGUAGAUAUCAGGAAGAAUACCAGUGGCGAAGGCGGUCUGCUGGCUGCAUACUGACGCUGAAGCGCGAAAGCCAGGGGAGCAAACGGGAUUAGAUACCCCGGUAGUCCUGGCAGUAAACGAUGUAUGCUGGGUGUGAGACUAGCGAUAGUUUCGUGCCGAAGUUAACGCGAUAAGCAUACCGCCUGGGGAGUACGGUCGCAAGAUUGAAACUCAAAUGAAUUGGCGGGG
rnacentral:rRNA from 1 species